rnacentral:rRNA from 1 species
AUGAACGCUGGCUACAGGCUUAACACAUGCAAGUCGAGGGGAAACGACGGGGAAGCUUGCUUCCCCGGGCGUCGACCGGCGCACGGGUGAGUAACGCGUAUCCAACCUGCCUCUGACUGAGGGAUAACCCGUCGAAAGUCGGCCUAAUACCUCAUGGCAUCGUCUGCGGGCAUCCAACGACGAUUAAAGAUUUCAUCGGUCAGAGAUGGGGAUGCGUCUGAUUAGCUUGUUGGCGGGGUAACGGCCCACCAAGGCGACGAUCAGUAGGGGUUCUGAGAGGAAGGUCCCCCACAUUGGAACUGAGACACGGUCCAAACUCCUACGGGAGGCAGCAGUGAGGAAUAUUGGUCAAUGGGCGAGAGCCUGAACCAGCCAAGUAGCGUGCAGGAUGACGGCCCUAUGGGUGGUAAACUGCUUUUAUGCGGGGAUAAAGUGAGGGACGUGUCCUUCAUUGCAGGUACCGCAUGAAUAAGGACCGGCUAAUUCCGUG